UAGGGCGGCACCUUGACGGUACCUAACCAGAAAGCCACGGCUAACUACGUGCCAGCAGCCGCGGUAAUACGUAGGUGGCAAGCGUUGUCCGGAAUUAUUGGGCGUAAAGGGCUCGCAGGCGGUUUCUUAAGUCUGAUGUGAAAGCCCCCGGCUCAACCGGGGAGGGUCAUUGGAAACUGGGGAACUUGAGUGCAGAAGAGGAGAGUGGAAUUCCACGUGUAGCGGUGAAAUGCGUAGAGAUGUGGAGGAACACCAGUGGCGAAGGCGACUCUCUGGUCUGUAACUGACGCUGAGGAGCGAAAGCGUGGGGAGCGAACAGGAUUAGAUACCCUGGUAGUCCACGCCGUAAACGAUGAGUGCUAAGUGUUAGGGGGUUUCCGCCCCUUAGUGCUGCAGCUAACGCAUUAAGCACUCCGCCUGGGGAGUACGGUCGCAAGACUGAAACUCAAAGGAAUUGACGGGGGCCCGCACAAGCGGUGGAGCAUGUGGUUUAAUUCGAAGCAACGCGAAGAACCUUACCAGGUCUUGACAUCCUCUGACA
rnacentral:rRNA from 1 species